GACGAACGCUGGCGGCGUGCUUAACACAUGCAAGUCGAACGGAAAGGCCCUGCUCUUGUGGGGUGCUCGAGUGGCGAACGGGUGAGUAACACGUGAGUAACCUGCCCCUGACUUUCGGAUAACUUCAGGAAACAGGGGCUAAUAUCCGAUAGGAUCUCCUGCUCCAUGGGGGGGGUUGGAGAGUGUCGGCGGUGGGGGAUGGACUCGCGGCUUAUCAGCUUGUUGGUGGGGUAGUGGCUUACCAAGGCUUUGACGGGUAGCCGGCCUGAGAGGGUGACCGGCCACAUUGGGACUGAGAUACGGCCCAGACUCCUACGGGAGGCAGCAGUGGGGAAUAUUGCACAAUGGGCGGAAGCCUGAUGCAGCAACGCCGCGUGCGGGAUGACGGCCUUCGGGUUGUAAACCGCUUUCGCCUGUGACGAAGCGUGAGUGACGGUAAUGGGUAAAGAAGCACCGGCUAACUACGUG
rnacentral:rRNA from 1 species